AAAAAACAUGUCUGUUUGUAAAUAUAAAGAGUCUAGCCUGCCCACUGAGUAAUUGAAGGGCCGCGGUAUAUUGACCGUGCAAAGGUAGCAUAAUCACUAGUCUUUUAAUUGGAGGCUUGAAUGAAUGGUUGAACAAAGAAAUAACUGUCUUUUUUAUAAGAAUUGAAUUUAACUUUAAAGUGAGAAGGCUUUAAUUAACUAGGGGGACGAUAAGACCCUAUAAAGCUUUACAUGAUUAUUAUUUUUUGUAGAUUUAUAAGUUUAAUUUAAAAAAAUAAAGUUGUGUUUUGUUGGGGUGACAUGAGUAUAAGUUUUAUAACUGCUUAGAGAUUAAUACAUGAAUUAGUGAAUUUGUGAUCCUUAUUAAAGAUUACCAGAAUAAGUUACUUUAGGGAUAACAGCGUUAUUUUUCUUGAGAGUUCAUAUCGAAAGAAAAAAUUGCGACCUCGAUGUUGAAUUAAAAUUUCUUUAUAAUGCAGCAGUUAUAUAAGAAGGUCUGUUCGACCUUUAAAUUUUUACAUGAUUUGAGUUCAGACCGGCGUAAGCCAGGUUGGUUUC
rnacentral:rRNA from 1 species